UCGAACAACCAACCUUCGGAUCAAGAUAUCUCGAGCUAUACACGAUCGUUUCUUGUGAUUCUUGGCUUGUUGAGUUCAUAAGGAAGUUCUGAACAAUUCUCCAGAAGGGAUCGAGGCGUGAGGUUGUAAUUUUCACGUCGAUUUUGGAGCUCGCCGGAUUCUGGAAAUUUUCCACCACCACCGAAGCUUUUGAUAGGUAUAUCUCGAGUUGUAGUGCAUCGUUUUGAGUGAUUCUUAAACUGGUAAACUCACCUUGAGUUUCUUAACAACUCUCUAGAAGGAAUCGAAGCCUGAAAUUGAAGUUUUGACGUCGAAAUCAAGCCUUGCCGGAUUCUGCAAAAUUCUGGAAUUUUUCCGACCACCGAAGCUUUCGAUCGGUAUAUCUCGAGCUACAGACCAUAUUUUUCUGUGAUUCUUGAACCAGUGAGUUCUUCUUGAGUUUCUUAACAACUCUUCAGAAGGAAUCGAAGCCUUAAAUUGACGUUUUUACGUCGAAUUGGAGCUCGCCGUUUUCUGCAGUUUCUCGCCGGUUUCUGGAAAAUUCCGGCCACCUUCAUACUGUUCAAGGUGAUCGACGGUUUGAUUUGGCGGACGAUUCGUGAAAUUGUAUUUUGAGCUGUUAAGAAGACGCAGCGGGAAUUUAGAGCGGGAAAUCCUACAGGUCAGGAGAACCAGGACGGUGAUCGGGCUGCUUAGAGUAGUGUUAUGUGAAUUACAGCAUUAUAUUGUGAGGUUUGUUAUGCUCAUUUAGAGCUUUGCAAUUUUACUUUGUAAGAGUGAAUUGUAAUAAUUAACUCGAGGUUUUCGAGUUUUUGUGUUGAGUGGCGAGUGGUGUGUUUGUUUGUGAGAAAAAAAUUCAGAACGUAUUUGUAUUAAUUGUUUAUUCAUGUUUCGGA